UGGGGAAUAUUGCACAAUGGGCGCAAGCCUGAUGCAGCCAUGCCGCGUGUGUGAAGAAGGCCUUCGGGUUGUAAAGCACUUUCAGCGAGGAGGAAGGUGGUGAGCUUAAUACGCUCAUCAAUUGACGUUACUCGCAGAAGAAGCACCGGCUAACUCCGUGCCAGCAGCCGCGGUAAUACGGAGGGUGCAAGCGUUAAUCGGAAUUACUGGGCGUAAAGCGCACGCAGGCGGUUUGUUAAGUCAGAUGUGAAAUCCCCGGGCUCAACCUGGGAACUGCAUUUGAAACUGGCAAGCUAGAGUCUCGUAGAGGGGGGUAGAAUUCCAGGUGUAGCGGUGAAAUGCGUAGAGAUCUGGAGGAAUACCGGUGGCGAAGGCGGCCCCCUGGACGAAGACUGACGCUCAGGUGCGAAAGCGUGGGGCAGCAAACAGGAUUAGAUACCCUGGUAGUCCACGCUGUAAACGAUGUCGAUUUUGGAGGUUGUGCCCUUGAGGCGUGGCUUCCGGAGCUAACGCGUUAAAUCGACCGCCUGGGGAGUACGGCCGCAAGGUUAAAAACUUAAAGG
rnacentral:rRNA from 1 species